UGGAGAGGUGAUAUGCAGAGAUCUUGGUGAUGGGGUAUAACACAUCCCCUAGGGAUGGAGGAGUCAUAGGAAGAGGCCCCGGGGUCACUGUUAGGCUCGAGGUGAACAAAUUGCUUCCCAGUUCCUCCCACAUUACCUAGCCACAGAUUGCAAGACCUCAAAGCUGAAUUAUCUCAUCCCUGUCCUGAUGCAACCUACAAACAAAGAAACCCCAGUCAAUCCAGGGACCUGUGUUCAUUUUGUCUGAAGAAUAAAGGACGAACAACAAGAAUUCUGCAUGAAGUCUCUACACAGAGACUUCUCUACACGGAGGCCUUCCAGCACAGGCUUUGAAGCUGCUAUGUUCCCAAGAACUGGCUCAGGACAUCUGGAUAACAAGUUUGACAAAGAUGUGAACAAUGAAGAAAGCUGAUUUAUCUGUAUAAGGCUUUUUGUCCACAGCCCAAAUAUAAAUCAACUCCCCAGCUUUCCACUUUCAACAAUUCAAUUCAAAUCAACAUUUUUAUGCAUCUAUAAUGUGCCGGCCAUUAUGUUAGGUACUGGGGAUAUAAAGACAAAACAAGACAAUCUCUGCGCUUCUAGAGCAUACAUUCUAUUGGGGGGAAACAAGAAUACAUAGAUGAAUUCAUACAAAAUUUAUACAAAAUACAUGCCAAGUAUAGAGGCUACAUGGUGUAGUGGAUGGAGAGCUGGCCUUGUAGAUAGAAAGUUUUCUUUAGAGUCAGGAACCCCAGGCUGCAAGUCUUGCAUUUUGCAUAUUGGCUCUAUGCUGAGUAAAUCACUUAACCUCUGUGGUUUAAGACUAUAAAAUGCAGUACAGAUGUCAAUCUGUGUUGGUAGAGGGAAUUUCCUUACCAGAAAUUCCUCAUACUAUUGAAAUCACAGAUUGGGCAAUAAAAAUACAAAAUAAUUUUUUGGGGGGAGGAGUAUAGUGGGGAGAAAGGGAGAACAUUUAACUACUCUGGAAUCAGGAAAGGUCUCAUGUAGGAAGAAGCAUUUGAGUUGAGCAUUGAAUUCUAAGUCAGUGGUGAAAGCAUUCUGGGUCAACUCCAAGUCAACUUAUUUUGGGAGUGAUUUUUAUAUUAGUUUGUCAAUCCAAAGGUACAAAAAGGAAUUCCACAUACACAGUAGGCACUUAAUAAAGGCUUGCUUGGUACUUGUCCAAAAUGUACCAGCACUGGGCUCCUCCCCCACUCAUUAGCUUUGUAACUGAGAGAAAAUGUAGUGCCUUGAAGGCAGAAAUUGUAGUGGAUCUGAUCCCAUCCCCCAAAUAAGAAUUUAAUAAAUAUUUGUUGACUUGAAUUGAAUUGACAGAGAUACCAGACUAGAACUUUUGAUUCUAUUUACUAAACUGGCCAGAUCUAUUCUCCAGCAGCUUCUGGUUAGGGAGACAGGAUAAUACAUAAAAGGUAACUAGAGGCACAGAGAUCUCAAGAAAAGGGAGGGUUAUGGAUAAGGUAUAUUUGAAAGAGAACUGGAUUUGGAAUCAGAAGAUAAUCUGGAUUCAA